CGUGAAGGCGGCUCCUGACGUCGCAGGUUCUAGUCUCAGGCUGGACGCCGCUGGGGGGCUCAGGUCUGUAUCCCUCAGCCCGGCCUCGAAGCUGGUGUAUUCUUGCGGGCCCCAGCCCGGAUAACCUCUUUCUCUCCAACCCCAGAUCCUGCUGCAAAGGGACAUCCAAGGACCCCCACAGAGCAUGGCCCCAAGCAUUGCAAGGCCAAAAAUCCUGUCCCUUUCUCCCUGCACUCAGUGCUGCAUUGGAUCCACUGCAUCUGGGGCCCUCUGUGGCUAAAGGGGCAGGAUUUGUCCACAAAAAUAGGCAAAUCUCCAUUAGCAGUAUAGAGCUAUGACACAUCAUUUAACAGUUCUGAUUUCAUCCACUUGAGAACUCUUCUGUCAUUGUCACUAUCUUCCCAGGUAUGCCAAGUCACUUCAUCAGAUACGACAAACUUGCUUGAUGCACUGAAUCAAAGGCCUGAUGGAAGUCUAUAAAAAGUGCUGCUCAUGGCUUAUGAAAUGCAGCCAUCUUCUCAAAAAGCUGUCUCCAGAUGCUGCUGCUGAGACCAGGACUCGAUAGAUGACAGCGACCCACCGGACCACGAUCACCACUGGAACAGCUACUGCAGCGGAGAAUGGCGAUGAAUGACUAUGAAGAAUCAGUAGGAGACACAUUUUUUGUCUCUGCGAACCGAUACAUCAGUGACUGUUGAUAACCAAUGAUUGUUAACGAGGACAUGAUCAAUAACAGUCCUAGUGAAACCAUCUGGGCUGUACCUGCUCUGUUUGUGAAUCUUGGGUGAUGGAAGAGUGAAUCAGCAAUCACCAUGUUAUUGGCGGCUGCAAAUUCUAUCAGUUGCCCAUUUCUGUUCAUCUGCUGGAUACCAAACUUCCUGAGAGUACUUGUGCAGGUCACUAUCCUUUCCUACUCGUGUAUUAAAGUUGCCCAGGAUCAUGAUGACCUCUCUUCUCAGAGUUUCAUUAUGGAUUGAUUGCAGUUGUUGGUAAAUAUCUUCAGCUACGUUAUAGGCCUUGGUUGGACCACACAUGGCAACGAUGGUAAGAUGUCCGCAGCCAUUAUGGAAUUGGCUGCUGAAAAGUCACUUCUUAAUCAGCUGCCAUCCCUGCAGUGCCUAUUGGGCAAUGGGUGAAAGUACAAUGGCCAUUCCUUGCUGGAAAACCUGUCGGGAUGGCCUGAGAACAAAAAAGGAUAAUCCUCAACUUUCUUUUCACCACUCCUGGCCAGUGUAGUUUAGAUAAAAUACAGAUAUCAAUGUUCAGACUUUUCAAUUGCUUGAUUUAACUGUUUCAGAAUGUGUUUUGAUGUUCCAGGCACCAAUUUUACAUUUACCACCAACAUGCAGAAUACUGGAAUAGCCCUUUUGCAAGGUUUCUUUGGUCAUUUUUGCAUAAAUGGCAGGUUGAUUCAGGACAAUUGACCAGAUUGUUGCAGGUGGUUGGCAGGUAUUAAACACUCUCAACAAACCGGAGUCUCUCGUACUCAAAUUUUGUUUAAUUUACCUUUCAUUUGGUUUUAUUAGCAAAUUCUGUUUUUCCUCUAGUUUGGAAUAACUGAGCUCCUGUAGAAAGCAACAGCCUUGUUAAUUUGCCCAUUACCAUCUGUGAAGGUGAUGCCAUUCCUUCUCUUGGUAUAUUCUUAAAUCCAGUGCAACUAAAUACAGAUGCUUAUUGUUAUGGUUGGCUGACUUCAAGAGACUUUUCACUGUCUGUCUGAAUAGCUCUCUCAGACAUCCUGUUGCUCUGAGGAUAUUUUGGUGAUAAUCUCAGAUUUUAGUGAAUUCUUGAAAUAAUGUAUUUAACUAUUGGGGUCCAUUAUCAGCAAUCAGAACCUGUAGUAUUUCAUGCCUUGCAAACUGUGAUUUUAGUAUAGGUGAUCUCCAUUCUACUGCUUGUGUUUGUUUGUUAGUUUUGAGAGCUACAUGCAUUUAGAGCAAUAAUCAAAGAACAGUAAACAGAUUUCUUUGUCCAAUUCAAAUUAGUUCAUUUUUUCAGUCUGUGUUUACAUUGUGGCCAAAGUUACCUACCUGUUGGGAAGGAUAUUUGAUACUUGUUUGUCUUCUGAUUACUUAUCUGCAUUUGUGAUUUGCCUCUACAGUAAAAUUUUCACUUACAUAAUCUUCAUGCCAAUAGAAGUAUAAUAAUUUUCCUUCCACAUACAUGGUCACAAGCUUCAGUUUCAGAUCUUCUUUCCUUUUCUUAAUCUGUUUUAUAACAGAUGGUCAAUAUAUUUCUUCACUCUCUCCCCCCUCUUACUCCAUCUCUGGACUAGUUAUCUGAGAUAACUGUUUAAGAAAUGGUGCUGUCCAGUGACGAGGUGGCUGUGUAAUGUGAAAUAAAUGUGACCUAAAUGCUUUCAAGUGGAUUAAAGUAAAUAUCAAUUAUGUGAAAAUGAGAACAGAAAUGUAUAGA